rnacentral:ncRNA from 1 species
UGUCGGCUCUUCGUACCAUUGGAAAGCAGAAUUCGCUAAACGUUGGAUUGUUCUCCCACUAAUAGGGAACGGAAGCUUGUCUUAGGCCGUCGUGAGACAGGUUAGUGUUACCCUACUGAUGACUGGUCAUUGUGAUAGUAAUCCUGCUCAGUACGAGCGGAACCGCAGGUUCGGACACUUGGUUCAUGUGCUUGGUUGAAAGACCAGUGGUGCGAAGCUACCAUCCCUGGGAUUACGACUAAACGCCUCUAAGUCAGAAUUCCGUCUAAGCAGAGCAAUGAUAUCGUGCGCACUUGCUGCGUUUACAGGUGAAGUUAGAGUUUCUCGGGUCGAUCGCGGCGGGAUGCCGCGAUUCCCGGCUCGACGACGCCGCAUUAGUCGUUCGCCGAAGUAACGGUGCGAGCCACGCUCCCAUGCACUCGUUUUGGGUGUGAACCGCUGCGGUGUCAAAUCGUCUGUAGACGACUUAGGUACCUGUCGUGGGAUCGUAAUUAGUAGAGGAGCCAUCGCACUGCGAUCUAUUGAGCCUCAGCCUCCACUAUCUCA